rnacentral:rRNA from 1 species
GACGAACGCUGGCGGCGUGCUUAACACAUGCAAGUCGAACGGAAAGGCCCUGCUUUUGUGGGGUGCUCGAGUGGCGAACGGGUGAGUAACACGUGAGUAACCUGCCCUUGACUUUGGGAUAACUUCAGGAAACUGGGGCUAAUACCGGAUAGGAGCUCCUGCUGCAUGGUGGGGGUUGGAAAGUUUCGGCGGUUGGGGAUGGACUCGCGGCUUAUCAGCUUGUUGGUGGGGUAGUGGCUUACCAAGGCUUUGACGGGUAGCCGGCCUGAGAGGGUGACCGGCCACAUGGGGACUGAGAUACGGCCCAGACUCCUACGGGAGGCAGCAGGGGGGAAUAUUGCACAAUGGGCGGAAGCCUGAUGCAGCAACGCCGCGUGCGGGAUGACGGCCUGCGGGUUGUAAACCGCUUUCGCCUGUGACGAAGCGUGAGUGACGGUAAUGGGUAAAGAAGCACCGGCUAACUACGUG